AUUGAACGCUGGCGGCAUGCUUUACACAUGCAAGUCGAACGGUAACAGGCCUUCGGGUGCUGCCGAGUGGCGAACGGGUGAGUAAUGCAUCGGAACGUGCCCAGAGGUGGGGGAUAACGCAGCGAAAGCUGUGCUAAUACCGCAUGUGAUCUGAGGAUGAAAGCGGGGGACCAAGCAGCAAUGUUUGGCCUCGCGCCUCUGGAGCGGCCGAUGUCAGAUUAGGUAGUUGGUGGGGUAAAGGCCUACCAAGCCGACGAUCUGUAGCUGGUCUGAGAGGACGACCAGCCACACUGGGACUGAGACACGGCCCAGACUCCUACGGGAGGCAGCAGUGGGGAAUUUUGGACAAUGGGCGCAAGCCUGAUCCAGCAAUGCCGCGUGCGGGAAGAAGGCCUUCGGGUCGUAAACCGCUUUUGUACGGAACGAAAAGGCUCUGGCUAAUACCUGGGGCUGAUGACGGUACCGUAAGAAUAAGCACCGGCUAACUACGUG
rnacentral:rRNA from 1 species